rnacentral:rRNA from 1 species
AUGUUGGUGCUGUUCGAGACGCCCGCUGGGUUCGCCCUUUUCAAGGUUCUGAACGAGGGCAAGCUCGACAAGGUCGAGGAUCUAUGGAAGGAGUUCACGACGUCGGACAGGGCGAGAAAGGUGGUUGAGCUGAAAGCUUUCAACAAGUUUGAGAACACAUCUGAUGCCCUUUCUGCUGCAACCCUGAUUAUUGAUAGCAAGCCUACCAAGGGUUUGCGCAAGUUCUUGCAGAAGCAUUGCGACGGUGAAACUUUAGCUAUUGCUGAUUCUAAACUUGGAAAUGCUAUAAAAGAGAAGCUGAAAAUUGACUGCGUUCACAACAGUGCUGUGAUGGAGCUGAUGACAGGGCUGAGAAAUCAGCUUAGUGAGCUUAUAUCUGGGUUGGGCACACAGGACCUUGGUCCAAUGAGCCUGGGAUUGUCCCACAGCUUGUCUAGAUAUAAGCUAAAGUUCAGUCCUGAAAAGGUUGAUACCAUGAUCAUUCAGGCCAUUGGCUUAUUGGAUGAUCUUGACAAGGAGCUUAACACAUAUGCAAUGAGGGUUCGCGAAUGGUAUGGUUGGCACUUCCCAGAGCUCACUAAGAUAGUGACAGAUAAUAUACAGUAUGCAAAAGUUGUGAAGUUGAUGGGCAAUAGGACUCAUGCGGUCAACCUUGAUUUCUCGGAGAUACUGACAGAUGACGAGGUAGAAGCACAGUUAAAGGAGGCUGCAGUAAUAUCCAUGGGAACAGAAGUUAAUGAUCUUGAUUUAUCAAACAUUAGGGAACUUUGUGAUCAAGUCUUGGCUCUUUCUGAGUAUAGAGCUCAGCUGUAUGAUUAUCUGAAAAGUAGGAUGAACACAAUUGCACCAAAUUUGACUUCACUUGUGGGCGAACUUGUUGGUGCUAGACUUAUUUCACAUGGUGGCAGCCUUGUAAAUUUGGCCAAGCAGCCUGGUAGCACCAUUCAGAUACUUGGUGCAGAGAAGGCUUUAUUCAGAGCUCUGAAGACAAAACAUGCUACACCUAAGUAUGGCCUCAUCUACCAUGCAUCCUUAAUUGGUCAGGCAUCCAAGCACAAGGGAAAGAUUUCUCGUUCUCUAGCUUCAAAAGCCGCUCUUGCCAUCCGAUAUGAUGCCCUUGGUGAUGGUGAAGAUAACUCCCUUGGUCUUGAGAGUCGACUGAAGCUUGAAACACGGCUUCGGGUUCUCGAGGGUAAAGAACUAGGGAGAUCUGUUGGUUCCACGAAGGGAAAGCCCAAGAUAGAAGUAUACGAAAAAGACAGGAAGAACGGUGUUGGGUUAAUUACUCCUGCUAAGACGUACAAUCCUUCGGCUGAUCUGGUUCUUGCACAAUCCACCGAAGAAACUCCAAAGAAGCUUGAUGUGGCUUCAAAGAAGAGGAAACAUGAUGAUGCGGAGACUGCACCAUCAACUGAGCCUGCUGGGGAAGCAAUUCAAGAGGAUGGUGGCCAGGAGGGCCGGAAGAAAAAGAAAAAAAAGUCCAAGGAUGUUGAGGAGUCUCCUACAGUUGAUGCGAAGAGUGACAAGAAAAAGAAAAAGAAAUCCAAGGAGACAGAGGAGCCUGGCGUGGCCACUGCUGAAGGUGAGAAGAAGAAAAAGGAAAGUGAAGCACAAGAUGAGGUUGUUGCCAUGGAAACCGAGUCUGGUAAAAAGGAUAAGAGGAAAAAGAAAAAGCAGGCUGAUGGAUGCGCUGUUCCCCAGAGGAGAAGGGAAGCAAAGCCGAGUCAUUUUGCGUAG